AUUCUGCCCAUGCGGGGAAGGAUGAGAAGCUUCGACCAAGGUUCGACUCGAGCGCCAGCGAGAGAGCGUUGCCGCAGGCAACGACCCGAAGGGCGAAGCGCGCAGCGCUGAG
rnacentral:sRNA from 1 species